rnacentral:rRNA from 1 species
UGGGGAAUAUUGCGCAAUGGGGGCAACCCUGACGCAGCAACGCCGCGUGCGGGACGACGGCCUUCGGGUUGUAAACCGCUUUCAGCAGGGAUGAUAGUGACGGUACCUGCACAAGAAGCCCCGGCUAACUACGUGCCAGCAGCCGCGGUAAUACGUAGGGGGCGAGCGUUAUCCGGAUUCAUUGGGCGUAAAGCGCGCGCAGGCGGCUCUUCAAGCGGAACCUCUAACCCCGGGGCUCAACCUCGGGCCGGGUUCCGAACUGGAGGGCUCGAGUGCGGUAGAGGCAGGCGGAAUUCCCGGUGUAGCGGUGGAAUGCGCAGAUAUCGGGAAGAACACCGAUGGCGAAGGCAGCCUGCUGGGCCGGCACUGACGCUGAGGCGCGAAAGCUAGGGGAGCGAACAGG